GUUGGGUUAAGUCCGUAACGAGCGCAACCCUUGUCCUUAGUUACCAGCACGUUAUGGUGGGCACUCUAAGGAGACUGCCGGUGACAAACCGGAGGAAGGUGGGGAUGACGUCAAGUCAUCAUGGCCCUUACGGCCUGGGCUACACACGUGCUACAAUGGUCGGUACAAAGGGUUGCCAAGCCGCGAGGUGGAGCUAAUCCCAUAAAACCGAUCGUAGUCCGGAUCGCAGUCUGCAACUCGACUGCGUGAAGUCGGAAUCGCUAGUAAUCGUGAAUCAGAAUGUCACGGUGAAUACGUUCCCGGGCCUU
rnacentral:rRNA from 1 species